rnacentral:ribozyme from 1 species
UGCCCAGCAACUCCUAUCCCUACCUCCUCGUGGUACUGGCCGGGGUACGAGUAACCUUAGGGAAGAUCGGGCAACCAACCCCGGUGGGAGCUUUGGUCGUAUGCUGACAGGGAAGC